UGGGGUGUGGCUCAAUGGUAGAGUAUUUGCCUAGCAUGAUCAAGGCCCUGGAUUCAAUCACCAGCACCACAA
rfam:Ictidomys tridecemlineatus contig101895, whole genome shotgun sequence.